GAUGAACGCUGGCGGCGUGCCUAAUACAUGCAAGUCGAGCGAACAGACGAGGAGCUUGCCUCUCUGACGUUAGCGGCGGACGGGGGAGUAACACGUGGAUAACCUACCUAUAAGACUGGGAUAACUUCGGGAAACCGGAGCUAAUACCGGAUAAUAUAUUGAACCGCAUGGUUCAAUAGUGAAAGACGGCUUUGCUGUCACUUAUAGAUGGAUCCACGCCGCAUUAGCUAGUUGGUAAGGUAACGGCUUACCAAGGCAACGAUGCGUAGCCGACCUGAGAGGGUGAUCGGCCACACUGGAACUGAGACACGGUCCAGACUCCUACGGGAGGCAGCAGUAGGGAAUCUUCCGCAAUGGGCGAAAGCUUGACGGAGCAACGCCGCGUGAGUGAUGAAGGUCUUCGGAUCGUAAAACUCUGUUAUUAGGGAAGAACAAAUGUGUAAGUAACUAUGCACUUCUUGACGGUACCUGAUCAGAAAGCCACGGCUAACUACGUG
rnacentral:rRNA from 1 species